UACGUAGGUACCGAGCGUUGUCCGGAUUUAUUGGGUUUAAAGGGUGCGUAGGCGGACUGUCAAGUCAGCGGUAAAAUUGAGAGGCUCAACCUCUUCCCGCCGUUGAAACUGGUGGUCUUGAGUGGAUGAGAAGUACGCGGAAUGCGUGGUGUAGCGGUGAAAUGCAUAGAUAUCACGCAGAACUCCGAUUGCGAAGGCAGCGUACCGGCAUCCAACUGACGCUGAGGCACGAAAGCGUGGGGAUCAAACAGG
rnacentral:rRNA from 1 species